AAGAAUGGUGAACAUAAGAGUGUUCUGCUUUCUACUCCUCAACUCCAAUGGAAGGAACUUUUGUAAGGAAAAGGGUCAAGGAUUUUUUUGCCAGGAUUCCUCUGAGAAAGAUUCAACAAGGAUGAUUAUGUUGGCCCAUAUUGCCCAUUGACAUCCUGAAAUGGAAGGCACAGUCAGGAUGAAGAAAUAAAACUGCUGAUAAACAAA